UACGUAGGGUGCGAGCGUUUAAUCCGGAAUUACUGGGCGUAAAGCGUGCGCAGGCGGUUUGUAAGCCAGAUGUGAAAUCCCCGGGCUUAACCUGGGAAUGGCAUUUGGGACUGCAAGGCUUGAGUGCGGCAGAGGAGACUGGAAUUCCUGGUGUAGCAGUGAAAUGCGUAGAUAUCAGGAGGACACCGAUGGCGAAGGCAGGUCUCUGGGCUGACACUGACGCUCAUGACA
rnacentral:rRNA from 1 species